rnacentral:lncRNA from 1 species
UCAAUAGUAUCAUACAAAACCCAAUACUGAAUCUCAACAUCAUCAAAGAGAAUAGAACUAACACCGAAAGGAACAAAAAAAACUUCUACGAGCCAGACAAUUGGCUAAGAAAUUGCCCUCCCGAAACACGUGGGAUUGGGUAACAGACCACUACACCCUGAAGAAGACUGUGAAACUGAAGCACGAGGCUAGCGUGCUAAUGCGUCGGCUCCUCCGUCGCCUGUAAUAUGGAAAUAGCUGCAGAUGAAUCCAGCUGCAGGACCACCCUCCGUUUUUGGGUGAGUACAGAAGCAGAUAAUUAAGCAGGAAAAAGACUAAUAGCUAGCUAAUUUGUCUCAUCACUCGCAAAUAUUGCCUUAUGAAAAAGCGUGCAAAUUUUGAUUGACUAACAUGAGGGAGAAUGAUAACAUUUGUGUUUGAGGUUAAUACAUAAGUUAUGUACAUAAAUAAAAAUGAAUAUGCAUGUAUACUUUUUUUUAACAAAUCAGUUUCAUUUUACUAAAACUGAAAGAACGAAUACAAAAAUUGGCCUAUAUCCAAAGAUGGACAUUACAAUGAGCAGGAAAAUACAAGCUCACUCAAAUAUUUAUAAACCCUAAGACAUUCAAUCAAUUUUUAAUAUGUGUAUAUAUGGUGUAAAAAAAGUAACAAUUAUACGUAAAUGACGAGACAAAUGAUUUAAAUGUAGUCGGAAAGCAAAAAUAAAGGAAUUCGAGAAAGGUAUUUUGCUCACUCACGAUGUGACAACAAACUUCUCCGAAAUAAGUAAUAAGACAAUGAUGAUGGAGGAGAAGAGAUGAAGAUGAAACGGGGAAGAGGAAGAAGGUGUCGCCGUCAGAAAGGAGAUAGAAGGAUAGAAGUGGGUGGUAUCUCUGGGCAGUGGCAUUUGGCUUUAUGAUGUUGUGUGUUGUGUGUUGGGGGAGAUGUUGAUUGGUGAUGCAAG